GUCUAUGGCCAUGCCACCCUCAACAACCCCAAUCCCAUCUGAUCUCAGAAGCUAAGCAGGGUCGGGCCUGGUUAGUACUUGGACGGGAGACCACCUAGGUGCCAUAAACG
rnacentral:rRNA from 1 species